GUGCUGUUUGAGAUGGUUUGGCUAUGUUCAACAUAGAUUUACUGAUGCAUUAGUAUGGAAGAGCGUUUGGAUUGAAGUAAUAGGAGCAAAGAAGAGGAGAAUUAGAUAAUAAACUAUGAGUUAAAAUGGUUAAAUGUCUUUUGGCAGUACUACAAAUCAAAGCAUUUGGCCCUAAGGAUAUUAAAAUAAUGAUCCAUAUUUAGCCAAUUCCAACUAAGACUAUACAGUUGAGGAAGAUAAAAUUUUGGGCUAUUGGCUGUGGUGGCUGAAAACUCCAAUCUAAAUACUUUAUUUUUUUUACUUGCUCUUUAUCCUCAAACUCUAUUAGAGGGUUAAAAUUUCCAUCUAUUAUCUUAGAAAGGUAUUUGGUGUUACCAUCCUAAUUUGUAAUACUUCUAUUUUAUCUAUUUUUAAGAUAUUUACUUCAAUUUAGUGAAAGUCAUUUAUUA
rnacentral:misc_RNA from 1 species